rnacentral:rRNA from 1 species
UACAGAGGUGGCAAGCGUUGUUCGGAUUUACUGGGCGUAAAGGGCGCGUAGGCGGCGUAACAAGUCACUUGUGAAAUCUCCGGGCUUAACUCGGAGCGGUCAAGUGAUACUGUUGUGCUAGAGUGCGGAAGGGGCUACUGGAAUUCUCGGUGUAGCGGUGAAAUGCGUAGAGAUCAUGAGGAAGACCAGUGGCGAAGGCGGGUCUCUGGACAGUUCCUGACACUGAGGCACGAAGGCCAGGGGAGCAAACGGG